GGCUGGAGGAAGGGGCGUCAGACGGGCCGGCGGUGCGGAUCCGGACCGCGCUGAGACGCUCUCAUGCGGGGGGGAAGGAGAUGUGAGGCGAAAUUUCAUCUGCAGAGACACUUCCUCCAGCUGAGGGGUGUCCCGUGUGGACGAUGUUUGCUGAAUUCUCGGGUGGGAUGUACGGACUGCCUCAGCGAUGGUGACAGACGCACCGCAGCCCACGUCCUCCCGGAUUUAUAGCUUUUAGAUAUGUUCCCAUGGGCCGCUGCCAUUGUUUAGUCAUCGUCCGGCAGGAUCGUUUCUGACUCCGUCUCCGCAUCCUGACCACCCUGUCUCGUACAUCUCGUACAGCUGUCGCUCACGCCAACCUCGUUUCAGGCCAAGUUUGUUCAAACUCUCCUGACGGCACACAGAACGACUGGCAGUAGAUGGAUGAAGGCAUAUCAAGGCUGAAGCUGACUGAGGAAGGUGAAAUAGGAGACAAUCAGCCAAAGCAAAUGCAGCAUCAUUCACAGAACACAUCCACGGAAAUAAUAAAAUGGGAAGGUUUAGCAAAAACUAAACCAAAUUAACAAAUGUAAUAUUAUACAAUACCGUAUGCCCCAUACCCAUUUUUUUCAU